rnacentral:rRNA from 1 species
UGCUGGAGGUAUCAGAAGUGCGAAUGCUGACAUAAGUAACGAUAAAGCGGGUGAAAAGCCCGCUCGCCGGAAGACCAAGGGUUCCUGUCCAACGUUAAUCGGGGCAGGGUGAGUCGACCCCUAAGGCGAGGCCGAAAGGCGUAGUCGAUGGGAAACGGGUUAAUAUUCCCGUACUUGGUGUUACUGCGAAGGGGGGACGGAGAAGGCUAUGUUGGCCGGGCGACGGUUGUCCCGGUUUAAGCGUGUAGGUGUGUGUUCCAGGUAAAUCCGGUUCACUUUAACACUGAGGCGUGACGACGAGGCACUACGGUGCUGAAGCAACAAAUGCCCUGCUUCCAGGAAAAGCCUCUAAGCAUCAGGUAACAUCAAAUCGUACCCCAAACCGACACAGGUGGUCAGGUAGAGAAUACCAAGGCGCUUGAGAGAACUCGGGUGAAGGAACUAGGCAAAAUGGUGCCGUAACUUCGGGAGAAGGCACGCUGACACGUAGGUGAAGUGAUUUACUCAUGGAGCUGAAGUCAGUCGAAGAUACCAGCUGGCUGCAACUGUUUAUUAAAAACACAGCACUGUGCAAACACGAAAGUGGACGUAUACGGUGUGACGCCUGCCCGGUGCCGGAAGGUUAAUUGAUGGGGUCAGCGCAAGCGAAGCUCCUGAUCGAAGCCCCGGUAAACGGCGGCCGUAACUAUAACGGUCCUAAGGUAGCGAAAUUCCUUGUCGGGUAAGUUCCGACCUGCACGAAUGGCGUAAUGAUGGCCAGGCUGUCUCCACCCGAGACUCAGUGAAAUUGAACUCGCUGUGAAGAUGCAGUGUACCCGCGGCAAGACGGAAAGACCCCGUGAACCUUUACUAUAGCUUGACACUGAACAU